rnacentral:rRNA from 1 species
AUUGAACGCUGGCGGCAGGCCUAACACAUGCAAGUCGAACGAGUGGCGGACGGGUGAGUAAUGUAUGGGAAACUGCCUGAUGGAGGGGGAUAACUACUGGAAACGGUAGCUACUACCGCAUACCCUCAGAUGUGCCCAGAUGGGAUUGGCUUUUGGGUGGGGUAACGGCUCACCAAGGCGACGAUCCCUAGCUGGUCUGAGAGGAUGACCAGCCACACUGGAACUGAGACACGGCCCAGACUCCUACGGGAGGCAGCAUUGGGGAAUAUUGCACAAUGGGCGCAAGCCUGAUGCAGCCAUGCCGCGUGUAUGAAGAAGGCCUUCGGGUUGUAAAGCACUUUCAGCGGGGAGGCGUUACCCGCAGAAUAAGCACCGGCUAACUUCGUGCCAGCCGCCGCGGUAAUUC